UGGAUGUGAAGUCUGGGAUGGUUCACGG
rnacentral:miRNA from 1 species